rnacentral:lncRNA from 1 species
CGACGCAUAAUUCGAAUGCGAGAACAAAGAUCGAGAUGCACAUACUAUGAUCAACAACAUUGAGAGUAAAUAUAUGAAAAUGUCCAAUACCGACGCUGUACGGUUGCCGGAAAGCCAAGCUCGAGUAGUCGUGUGGAUUUAAUUAUUAAUAAUCACAAACUUGAUCUCAGCCAAAAAACAUAAACCUAACAUCAUACACAGCAAAAAUAUCAAAACUGUAAAAAAAAUCAGACCCAUCACCUGAUAAAUGAUAUAUCGACAUCCUUUCUUUCUUCCCUCUCAAACAUCCUUCCUUAGCGAUCAAAAUCCACAACAUAUGUGUAAACAUACGAAUCUUGCGAUUUCACCCUGAAAAUAGAACAAAAACGACAACAAAUUAGUUAUCUCAAUGAAUCGUGGUAAAGCAUCUUUAGAAACCCUAAAUUAGAAACACAGAGGAAAAAUAGAGCCCAUAACAAACAAUAAUGAUUGCGUAUCUAAUAUACAAAAUCACAUUACCUUAACACCGUCUAUGGAACCAACAAAAAGGCACGACCGAGAAAAAGAGUUAUAAUCCAAACCUGAUAACAGGGCACUGAAGUGGCAAAGAAGUACAGAAUUGAAGCAUGGAUUUGAUCUUAAAUAUUGGAGAAGAAGAGAGUGGGUAA